rnacentral:rRNA from 1 species
GGGUUGUGAGGUUAAGCGACUAAGCGUACACGGUGGAUGCCCUGGCAGUCAGAGGCGAUGAAGGACGUGCUAAUCUGCGAUAAGCGUCGGUAAGGUGAUAUGAACCGUUAUAACCGGCGAUUUCCGAAUGGGGAAACCCAGUGUGUUUCGACACACUAUCAUUAACUGAAUCCAUAGGUUAAUGAGGCGAACCGGGGGAACUGAAACAUCUAAGUACCCCGAGGAAAAGAAAUCAACCGAGAUUCCCCCAGUAGCGGCGAGCGAACGGGGAGCAGCCCAGAGCCUGAAUCAGUGUGUGUGUUAGUGGAAGCGUCUGGAAAGGCGCGCGAUACAGGGUGACAGCCCCGUACACAAAAAUGCACAUAUUGUGAGCUCGAUGAGUAGGGCGGGACACGUGGUAUCCUGUCUGAAUAUGGGGGGACCAUCCUCCAAGGCUAAAUACUCCUGACUGACCGAUAGUGAACCAGUACCGUGAGGGAAAGGCGAAAAGAACCCCGGCGAGGGGAGUGAAAAAGAACCUGAAACCGUGUACGUACAAGCAGUGGGAGCACGCUUAGGCGUGUGACUGCGUACCUUUUGUAUAAUGGGUCAGCGACUUAUAUUCUGUAGCAAGGUUAACCGAAUAGGGGAGCCGAAGGGAAACCGAGUCUUAACUGGGCGUUAAGUUGCAGGGUAUAGACCCGAAACCCGGUGAUCUAGCCAUGGGCAGGUUGAAGGUUGGGUAACACUAACUGGAGGACCGAACCGACUAAUGUUGAAAAAUUAGCGGAUGACUUGUGGCUGGGGGUGAAAGGCCAAUCAAACCGGGAGAUAGCUGGUUCUCCCCGAAAGCUAUUUAGGUAGCGCCUCGUGAAUUCAUCUCCGGGGGUAGAGCACUGUUUCGGCAAGGGGGUCAUCCCGACUUACCAACCCGAUGCAAACUGCGAAUACCGGAGAAUGUUAUCACGGGAGACACACGGCGGGUGCUAACGUCCGUCGUGAAGAGGGAAACAACCCAGACCGCCAGCUAAGGUCCCAAAGUCAUGGUUAAGUGGGAAACGAUGUGGGAAGGCCCAGACAGCCAGGAUGUUGGCUUAGAAGCAGCCAUCAUUUAAAGAAAGCGUAAUAGCUCACUGGUCGAGUCGGCCUGCGCGGAAGAUGUAACGGGGCUAAACCAUGCACCGAAGCUGCGGCAGCGACGCUGAUGCGUUGUUGGGUAGGGGAGCGUUCUGUAAGCCUGUGAAGGUGUGCUGUGAGGCAUGCUGGAGGUAUCAGAAGUGCGAAUGCUGACAUAAGUAACGAUAAAGCGGGUGAAAAGCCCGCUCGCCGGAAGACCAAGGGUUCCUGUCCAACGUUAAUCGGGGCAGGGUGAGUCGACCCCUAAGGCGAGGCCGAAAGGCGUAGUCGAUGGGAAACAGGUUAAUAUUCCUGUACUUGGUGUUACUGCGAAGGGGGGACGGAGAAGGCUAUGUUGGCCGGGCGACGGUUGUCCCGGUUUAAGCGUGUAGGCUGGUUUUCCAGGCAAAUCCGGAAAAUCAAGGCUGAGGCGUGAUGACGAGGCACUACGGUGCUGAAGCAACAAAUGCCCUGCUUCCAGGAAAAGCCUCUAAGCAUCAGGUAACAUCAAAUCGUACCCCAAACCGACACAGGUGGUCAGGUAGAGAAUACCAAGGCGCUUGAGAGAACUCGGGUGAAGGAACUAGGCAAAAUGGUGCCGUAACUUCGGGAGAAGGCACGCUGAUAUGUAGGUGAAGUCCCUUGCGGAUGGAGCUGAAAUCAGUCGAAGAUACCAGCUGGCUGCAACUGUUUAUUAAAAACACAGCACUGUGCAAACACGAAAGUGGACGUAUACGGUGUGACGCCUGCCCGGUGCCGGAAGGUUAAUUGAUGGGGUCAGCGCAAGCGAAGCUCUUGAUCGAAGCCCCGGUAAACGGCGGCCGUAACUAUAACGGUCCUAAGGUAGCGAAAUUCCUUGUCGGGUAAGUUCCGACCUGCACGAAUGGCGUAAUGAUGGCCAGGCUGUCUCCACCCGAGACUCAGUGAAAUUGAACUCGCUGUGAAGAUGCAGUGUACCCGCGGCAAGACGGAAAGACCCCGUGAACCUUUACUAUAGCUUGACACUGAACAUUGAGCCUUGAUGUGUAGGAUAGGUGGGAGGCUUAGAAGUGUGGACGCCAGUCUGCAUGGAGCCGACCUUGAAAUACCACCCUUUAAUGUUUGAUGUUCUAACGUUGACCCGUAAUCCGGGUUGCGGACAGUGUCUGGUGGGUAGUUUGACUGGGGCGGUCUCCUCCUAAAGAGUAACGGAGGAGCACGAAGGUUGGCUAAUCCUGGUCGGACAUCAGGAGGUUAGUGCAAUGGCAUAAGCCAGCUUGACUGCGAGCGUGACGGCGCGAGCAGGUGCGAAAGCAGGUCAUAGUGAUCCGGUGGUUCUGAAUGGAAGGGCCAUCGCUCAACGGAUAAAAGGUACUCCGGGGAUAACAGGCUGAUACCGCCCAAGAGUUCAUAUCGACGGCGGUGUUUGGCACCUCGAUGUCGGCUCAUCACAUCCUGGGGCUGAAGUAGGUCCCAAGGGUAUGGCUGUUCGCCAUUUAAAGUGGUACGCGAGCUGGGUUUAGAACGUCGUGAGACAGUUCGGUCCCUAUCUGCCGUGGGCGCUGGAGAACUGAGGGGGGCUGCUCCUAGUACGAGAGGACCGGAGUGGACGCAUCACUGGUGUUCGGGUUGUCAUGCCAAUGGCACUGCCCGGUAGCUAAAUGCGGAAGAGAUAAGUGCUGAAAGCAUCUAAGCACGAAACUUGCCCCGAGAUGAGUUCUCCCUGACCCUUUAAGGGUCCUGAAGGAACGUUGAAGACGACGACGUUGAUAGGCCGGGUGUGUAAGCGCAGCGAUGCGUUGAGCUAACCGGUACUAAUGAACCGUGAGGCUUAACCUUACAACGCCGAAGGUGUUU